GAUGAACGCUGGCGGCGUGCCUAAUACAUGCAAGUCGAGCGAACAGACGAGGAGCUUGCUCCUCUGACGUUAGCGGCGGACGGGUGAGUAACACGUGGAUAACCUACCUAUAAGACUGGGAUAACUUCGGGAAACCGGAGCUAAUACCGGAUAAUAUAUUGAACUGCAUGGUUCAAUAGUGAAAGACGGUUUUGCUGUCACUUAUAGAUGGAUCCGCGCCGCAUUAGCUAGUUGGUAAGGUAACGGCUUACCAAGGCAACGAUGCGUAGCCGACCUGAGAGGGUGAUCGGCCACACUGGAACUGAGACACGGUCCAGACUCCUACGGGAGGCAGCAGUAGGGAAUCUUCCGCAAAGGGCGAAAGCCUGACGGAGCAACGCCGCGUGAAUGAUGAAGGUCUUCGGAUCGUAAAACUCUGUUAUUAGGGAAGAACAAAUGUGUAAGUAACUAUGCACGUCUUGACGGUACCUAAUCAGAAAGCCACGGCUAACUACGUG
rnacentral:rRNA from 1 species